AUUGAACGCUAGCGGGAUGCCUUACACAUGCAAGUCGAACGGAGUGGCGAACGGGUGAGUAAUGUAUCGGAACGUGCCCAGUAGCGGGGGAUAACUACGCGAAAGCGUAGCUAAUACCGCAUACUAUUGGAGCGGCCGAUAUCGGAUUAGCUAGUUGGUGGGGUAACGGCUCACCAGGGCGACGAUCCGGAGCUGGUUUGAGAGGACGACCAGCGAGACUGGGGCGGAGGCGCGGGGCAGACUGGUACGGGAGGCGGGAGUGGGGAAGUUUGGACAAUGGGGGAAACCCUGAUCCAGCCAUCCCGCGUGUGCGAUGAAGGCCUUCGGGUUGUAAAGCACUUUUGGCAGGAAAGCGGUACCUGCAGAAUAAGCACCGGCUAACUACGUGCCAGCAGCCGCGGUAAUUC
rnacentral:rRNA from 1 species